CUGGCGGCGUGCCUAAUACAUGCAAGUCGAGCGGAAUGAUGAAGAAGCUUGCUUCUUCUGAUUUUAGCGGCGGACGGGUGAGUAACACGUGGGCAACUACCUUGUAGAUUGGGAUAACUCCGGGAAACCGGGGCUAAUACCGAAUAAUCCAUUUUGCUUCAUGGCGAGAUGUUGAAAGACGGUUUCGGCUGUCACUAUAAGAUGGGCCCGCGGCGCAUUAGCUAGUUGGUAGGGUAAUGGCCUACCAAGGCGACGAUGCGUAGCCGACCUGAGAGGGUGAUCGGCCACACUGGGACUGAGACACGGCCCAGACUCCUACGGGAGGGCAGCAGUAGGGAAUCUUCCGCAAUGGACGAAAGUCUGACGGAGCAACGCCGCGUGAGUGAAGAAGGUUUUCGGAUCGUAAAACUCUGUUGUAAGGGAAGAACACGUACGAGAGUAACUGCUCGUACCUUGACGGUACCUUAUUAGAAAGCCACGGCUAACUACGUG
rnacentral:rRNA from 1 species